CCAAUAGCGUAUAUUAAAGUUGUUGCAGUUAAAAAGCUCGUAGUUGAAUUUCGAGAUCAAUACGUCGGUCGUGCUUCGGUACGUACUGGCGUCAUUGGUUUCUCCUUUCUGACGAGCCAUGAUGUCAUUAAUUUGGUGUUGUGGGGAGUUAGGACUGUUACUUUGAAAAAAUUAGAGUGUUUAAAGCAGGCAUUAGCUUGAAUACAUUAGCAUGGAAUAAUGAAAUAGGACGUUCGAACCUAUUUUGUUGGUUUCUAGGAUCAACGUAAUGAUUAAUAGGGAUAGUUGGGGGCAUUAGUAUUCAAUUGUCAGAGGUGAAAUUCUUGGAUUUAUUGAAGACUGACUACUGCGAAAGCAUUUGCCAAGGAUGUUUUCAUUAAUCAAGAACGAAAGUUAGGGGAUCGAAGACGAUCAGAUACCGUCGUAGUCUUAACCAUAAACUAUGCCGACUAGGGAUCGGAUGAUGUUAAUUUUUUAAUGACUCAUUCGGCGCCUUACG
rnacentral:rRNA from 1 species